rnacentral:tRNA from 4 species
GGAGGUGUCAGGGUUCCUGGUGGUCCCCCCGGUCUUCAAAACCGGUGAGACCGAGCAUCUCGGUCUGGCGGGUUCGAUUCCCGUCCACCUCCGCCA